rnacentral:sRNA from 1 species
UUAUAUAAAGUUAAAGCAUCAAAUGUUUCAAUUUCUUUAUUUAACUCUUCUAAAAAUUUAGGAUUAGAAAAAAUAGCAUUUAAAAUA